AAGUCGUAACAAGGUUUCCGUAGGUGAACCUGCGGAAGGAUCAUUAACACGCGUAAUCUCUAACGAUUACAAACCAAACUCGUGAACUUUGUAUCAUUCAAACCGCGAUUAGUAGGCCGCUUCAGUUAUGCAAGGAGUGUUUCGAAUACUGUGACUCCUUGUGUGAUUGAGGUGCUAUGGACUAUUGGACGCGGUAUACAAGUCUAAAAAUAAACUCACUCAGUGCUCAUAUACACCCCUUUUUUGAAUUUCUAUAGUAACAUCUGAUCUUCCACAGUCAUGAGUCGAAAGGCUCGCUUUGACUGCACUGGAUCGUUAAUUCUUACGAAACAGUAAAAGAACAACUUUAAGCAGUGGAUAUCUAGGUUCCCAU
rnacentral:misc_RNA from 1 species